rnacentral:misc_RNA from 1 species
GUAGGUGAACCUGCGGAAGGAUCAUUAUCGUAGGGCUUCGGCCCUGUCGAGAUAGAACCCUUGCCUUUUUAAGUACCUUUCGUUUCCUCGGCAGGCUCGCCUGCCAAUGGGGACCCCCAAAAAACACUUUGCAGUACCUGUAACAGUCUGAAUAACAAACAAAAAAUUAAAACUUUCAACAACGGAUCUCUUGGUUCUG